GUUCGAUCAGAAUAAGAGAAAGAAAGGGGUCAAACCCUAGAACACCAAAAUCUAUCAAAUUGAAAGGGGAAUUGAAGUCUAGUUGAAUGCAUGAACUAAGAAUGGCGAUCAUCUAAGCAUACCCAACAUCAAGAGUCAUGUCAAUAGAGGCACAAAUAUGGAAGCGCUACGGGUCGAAGGUAAACACGGAAGCUAUGUGUAAAUUCGGACGCACGAGCUUGUAAUCAGCAUACCUUAGUAAACCUUGGGAUGAUUUAAGUGAUUUAUAAGGCUUGUACGUUUGUACGUGGGUACGUAAUCACGUGUGGAAGAUCACGUCUAUGAAUACAUGUGUGUUUGUGCCUGCGUUUGAAGUAGGAUUCAUUGCUUAUGAGCGAACGAAACUUGGGUAUGUGUUCGUACAACUUAAAUAAGUGGAAGCGUUAAGUUACUAAACCGUUGACUUGAGUAUGAAAAGGUGAUUGCAGGUACUCUAUUAAUGUCUUUACCAAGGUUAAGGAAUUGAAGUGCACGAAUGUACAUGGAAAGCAUAUUCGUAAGGAUCAGUAUGGGAAGAAGGAACGCGGACUGGUUAUUGAUCAUGUUGCGUGGAUUUAGCAUCAUUAUGAAGGAUAGAAAGAUUGAAGAUCGAGUCAAGAGCAAAGGAUUGUACGGGAAGGAUCGGUCACAUAGUUUAACAAAUGUAGGUCCGAAGUAUUAAUGUAAUGGAACGUGGUAAAUCCUUUUUAAUGAGUGUAUGACAUUUGGUAUUCGAACUUUCCUAUAAGUACUAUGUCUAUUAAAGAACGAAAUUUUGGGUUCAUAUUUUCCGCUGUGUUGUAUUUUUAAGUUAUUACAAGUUAGUCUUAUAGGGAAUUGUUCAUAAUACGAAAGGGUCAUGCCCGAUUUUUGUUAAAUUAUAGUAUGAUAAUAUCUCAUUUAGGAAGGUAUAAAGGUGGGCGUAACAAGUUGGUAUCAGAGCCCUGGUUUGAGAGAAAUCAAGUAUGAGAAGGUAGUACUUGAACUCAAACCUGUGUGCUCGUGUGACAAGGAACCCGUACAAUCUAGGACUCGAUCAAGAUCUAAGGGCAGAAGCGAAUGUAAGUACGUAUUUAUGCAUGUGAAUGAAGAAACUAACGGUUUUGUAUGUGCAAGGUAAGCAUGAGUGAUUGAAGGGGAAGGUCCGUGAAUGCAGAAUAGGAUGAAUGCUAAGGCGGGCAAAGAUGCAAAUAGGCAAAUUAACCCCAGGUACACGCUACUAAUAUGUAUGGGUGCCGAUGUUAAAAGAAAAAGGAAGAGAUCUCCUUGGGAGGGUAAUUAUGAAACGAAAUACAACGAUGUGGUCUUGGGGAAGUUUUAGAAAUAUGCACGAAACUGAAACCCAUUUCUCGGACAUAAGGCGAUGAUUACACGAAGGCACGAAACUAGUACGUGGAUCGCGCUCCUGGCCAGUACGCAAGAA